UAGGAUGACAUUGCUUAAGUCCAUUAAAGCUUAUACCAUUUCACACUGCUAUCUUGUCUUGAUCCUGGGACCCUUUUAUGACUAGGGCCACUAACAAGUGCGACUCUGACUCUAUACUACAUGGUUGGCCAUUCUUUUGAGGCCAGCUUCAAGUUCUCCUCUGUCUUCAGUUGUUUCUGACCCCAUGAUGAUCAGUCUAUCUCUGUGUCCGCCUAGAAGGCCUUCAUUACCUAUCUCCCUGUUCAGGCAGGUUCUUACACUUCACAUAGUAUGUUCCAUACAUGCUACUGGCAGUCACUAUAUAUUUAUGUUUAAUGUAUAUUCUGUCUAAUUCUCCAUUGAUCCUAACCAACUGAGGAAAAUACUGGUUACUGGACAUACAUACGACUCUCUGUUUUGAAGUCUAAGGGAGACACUGAUCUGACUGUCUUCAUACCCCUACUGGAUCCAUUGGAGAGGGCCAUGGGUAUGUCUGUCCACUUCUCCUAUAUAUGGCUAUAACUGGAGGUGAAUUGUGGGGUCUUCACCAACUUUAAUCUGGUUCUGAGUAGAAAAUCUAUAUACAGGAGUGCAUAGCUACCGUAUAUUAUGUAUUAGUAAUACUGAACAUUAGAUCAGUACUAUAAUAUCUGCCUAUCAAUAAGGUGACGGACAGCAGAUUUGCUAACAGCAAAUGAAAAAGUCAAUUUGUCUAACAGACAAUGAAUCUAACUAAUAGAGAAGAAUAUGAGUGUGGUUUCAGGACAUCUGGUGAGACUCCCCAAAGCAUUACAGAAGACCCCCUGUCAUUACAGUAUGCUGGUGAACACCGCAUGCCGUGUCUGCUUGUUUGAUGAAACCCAAUACAGAUCAUAGGAGAGAACAUUCUGUACAUGAGAAGUUACGUCAUUAAGGCACCUGGGCUAGUACACAGAAAAGAUGAAUCAAUCUCCAUUGGGAGAGGCUGAAGCAAUAGCAGCUGCUAUAAUAGAUGUCGGAAAAAUCUAGUUCUGAAGGAGACGUGGUAUUGAUGUCAUUGACAUUACUCCAAAUCCAGGAGUUAAAUGAUCCGGGCGACAAGGUGAAGGAACAGGAUGUACAGAAGAUGACUAACUCAUCUGUGUAAAUAUAUAGCUACGUGUACUAGCUGAGUACCCAGCAUUGUCCGGUCUUCCUACCUAUACCUUGUGGAAGAGGAAAAGCAACAAUGAUAUAUAAAUAACACAAUAUUUAAAAGCUGUGGGAGUACUGUGAGCCCUGCACUGUGUAGUGCUUGCCACCCAGCUUUACCAGUCUCCUGAAGCCCCAGCAAUGAUAGUCUUCUCAUUUUCCCUCCACUCCUCAAUGCAGCAGUACUGCCAUGCCUUCUUCCUGCCCCCACAGUGAUGUCUUCUCUUUCACUUCACUCUUCUCUCAGCCUGCAAUAAAUCUUCUCUCCCUUGCCCUGUCCUCUAUCCCUGCCCCCAAAAUAACUGUUCUCUGCACCUACCUGCCGGACAGUUAAAUCAUACUUUACCAUGAGGUUGGUCAGGGGGCAGGAUGUUUAAAACUCCCAGGAAAUCCCUGCACCCUGAAUCAGGACAUGUGCCGGAAUCUCCUCUGUUUAACUCUCAGGCUACGGAGAUUAUCGGUAUCAGGACAUCCGUAAACUUUAUUAUAUUUUUAUUUGACAUAUAAGUAACAUGUGUACAAAGUUUAUCUGCAAUAAAUAUCUCCAUUCAU